rnacentral:miRNA from 1 species
AGGGGAGGAGUCUAAAGGGACCAUCCAAGUCCAUAUCCCCUUCUUCAUGAUAGUAUGUCUCAAAUAAAGGAAAGAUUAAGCCCCAGUAGAUAAGCUUAAUCUUUCCUUUAUUUGAGACAUAAUAUCAUGAAGAAAGGGAUAUGGACUUGGAUGGUCCCUUUAGACUCCUCCCC